GAUGAACGCUGGCGGCGUGCCUAAUACAUGCAAGUCGAGCGAAUGGAUUAAGAGCUUGCUCUUAUGAAGUUAGCGGCGGACGGGUGAGUAACACGUGGGUAACCUGCCCAUAAGACUGGGAUAACUCCGGGAAACCGGGGCUAAUACCGGAUAACAUUUUGAACCGCAUGGUUUGAAAUUGAAAGGCGGCUUCGGCUGCCACUUAUGGAUGGACCCGCGUCGCAUUAGCUAGUUGGUGAGGUAACGGCUCACCAAGGCAACGAUGCGUAGCCGACCUGAGAGGGUGAUCGGCCACACUGGGACUGAGACACGGCCCAGACUCCUACGGGAGGCGGCAGUAGGGAAUCUUCCGCAAUGGACGAAAGUCUGACGGAGCAACGCCGCGUGAGUGAUGAAGGCUUUCGGGUCGUAAAACUCUGUUGUUAGGGAAGAACAAGUGCUAGUUGAAUAAGCUGACACCUUGACGGUACCUAACCAGAAAGCCACGGCUAACUACGUGCCAGCCGCCGCAGUAA
rnacentral:rRNA from 1 species